rnacentral:rRNA from 1 species
AUUGAACGCUGGCGGCAUGCCUUACACAUGCAAGUCGAACGGCAGCACGGGUGCUUGCACCUGGUGGCGAGUGGCGAACGGGUGAGUAAUAUAUCGGAACGUACCUUAUUGUGGGGGAUAACGCAGCGAAAGCUGUGCUAAUACCGCAUAAUCCCUAAGGGGGAAAGCGGGGGACCGUAAGGCCUCGCGCAAUUAGAGCGGCCGAUACCUGAUUAGCUAGUUGGUGAGGUAAAGGCUCACCAAGGCAACGAUCAGUAGCUGGUCUGAGAGGACGACCAGCCACACUGGAACUGAGACACGGUCCAGACUCCUACGGGAGGCAGCAGUGGGGAAUAUUGGGGCAAAUGGAGGAAACUCUGACCCAGCGACGCCGCGUGAGGGAUGAAGGCCUUCGGGUUGUAAACCUCUUUCAGUAGGGAAGAAGACGAAAGUGACGGUACCUACAAGAAGAAGCACCGGCUAAC